CAGUAACACGUGGCCAAACUACCCUGUGGAUGGGAACAAUCUCGGGAAACUGAGGCUAAUUCCCAAUAACGCUCCACCCCUGGAACGGGCGGAGCUGGAAACGCUACGGCGCCACAGGAUGUGGCUGCGGUCGAUUAGGUAGACGGUGGGGUAACGGCCCACCGUGCCAAUAAUCGGUACGGGUUGUGAGAGCAAGAGCCCGGAGACGGAAUCUGAGACAAGAUUCCGGGCCCUACGGGGCGCAGCAGGCGCGAAACCUUUACACUGUACGCAAGUGCGAUAAGGGGACUCCGAGUGUGAAGGCAUAGAGCCUUCACUUUUGUACACCGUAAGGUGGUGUACGAAUAAGGGCUGGGCAAGACCGGUGCCAGCCGCCGCGGUAAUACCGGCAGCCCGAGUGAUGGCCGAUAUUAUUGGGCCUAAAGCGUCCGUAGCUGGCCGGACAAGUCCGUUGGGAAAUCUGUUCGCUUAACGAGCAGGCGUCCAGCGGAAACUGUUCGGCUUGGGACCGGAAGACCUGAGGGGUACGUCCGGGGUAGGAGUGAAAUCCUGUAAUCCUGGACGGACCACCGGUGGCGAAAGCGCCUCAGGAGGACGGAUCCGACAGUGAGGGACGAAAGCUAGGGUCUCGAACCGGAUUAGAUACCCGGGUAGUCCUAGCUGUAAACGAUGCCCGCUAGGUGUGGCGCAGGCUACGAGCCUGCGCUGUGCCGUAGGGAAGCCGAGAAGCGGGCCGCCUGGGAAGUACGUCUGCAAGGA
rnacentral:rRNA from 1 species